UUGCAGGAUAGUGUUAAAAACACAGGUUAAAUGGAUGUUGAAGAGCUGAUAUAAGAGGCCACAUUUGGGUAAGAAAAGAGUUAUUGGUCUUUUUAAUUGAUUGUUUCAUCUUCCCUGCAUAAAAAGUUCACCUGCAAUAUUUAAGAAGUAAACAACUGCCAGCCGAGCUGGCUGUUCCAGUCUGUCGCUCACCAAACACCAUCAAUUCUGGUUUUGAGCUACUUGUAACACCAGCUAUUGGCUGUGUAAAAAAAUCUUAAAAAGACAGUAGACUGUUUGGCUGAAAUAUAUUAC
rnacentral:lncRNA from 1 species